rnacentral:lncRNA from 1 species
GUUCUGUGAGCCGGUGGUGGUUCUUGAAUUCGGUGGAGGCAUCGUGAUCUGGAAGGAGGGCGAGGUUUAAAGGUCGGUUGUUUGCAGAGGAGUCGGCGUUUAGGAGCUUGCAUGUCUGUAGAUCCAUGGCAGAUCUGAAGUUUUCUCUUCAUGCAUGUGCUUUUUCAACGGUUUAACAAAGGAUCAUGGUGGCCUUGGGUCUAAUCAUCGCUUCUAGAUCUGGGUACCUCUACUUCUCCAUGUCUUCGCGAGUCUUGCUUCUUCGCUUUUGGUCUGGUCUCGGUUUGGGGUUUCGUCUCUCGGAUGUGAGUUUUCUGUGGAGCCAUCUACAAUCUUCUUCUCUGUUUGGGGAGAUUGGUUAAGGACGAUACAGUGGUCUCGAUCUUCGGUUUCUUCUCUUGCGAGGACGUGACCAGCUUUGUGCUUGUAGAUGGGCUAAGCUAGGUACACGGGUGCCCGUGUGUAAGAACCUUUGAUCCUCUUAGACGUUUUACCUUAUUGGAGUUUCAAGGUUUACCUUAUGCCAGUGUUAUGUUGCGGGUGGUGAUUCUUGAUGAAAGCGUGGUGUAAGUAGUUCGGUGUUGUUGCUCGUUUCUAAUACAUGAUCCUCUUCGCCGGUGUUGUUACUUGUUGGGAUCGUGCUUUGACUUCCUCUAGAUUGGAUACUCCGCAGAUCCUUAGUUCUUAGGUUCAACUCCAGCUACAAAUUGCUUCUAUCGAAGGGUUCAUGUGUGUUUCGUGCUUUCAGCUUUGGUUUUGUAUCCUUAGGUCUUUUUGCCUAUAAUGCUUUAGAUCCUUUGUUUGUUGUUUUUGCUUUUGUAAGAUCGUUCUGUUUAUGUCUCCCUUGUUUGGACUUCUUAUCUUCGGUAUGUUCGUACUUCGAACUCGCCGGCUUCACUUCUGGAAGGAUAUUAAUCCUGUCCGGCUUCACUUCUGGAAGGAUGUUAAUCCUUGCCAGCUUUGGUUUGUAACUUUUUUUUCAAUCUUCUAAUAAACUUUCAGUGUUUAAAAAAAAGCAUUAUUAAACUAUCAAAUUGGUUUUUGUAUCACAAAAAACUUUGGGUUUUCAACUAAACUUAUUUGCACAUCAAAUAAAAAUGGUGAUUGGUGUGGCAACCAAAAUUCACUCCGUCGAUUUCCGUAAACGAAGGAAAAUCAUGAAAUUUUAACUUUUUCUAGGGUCCCGAAUUCUCUGCGAGAGCCAACGACAAGUGACCAAAUAAACGCAUAAAAUAUGAAAAGAUAACAAAACGAAUUUAUAGAAAAAGUACAUCAUAUUUCCAAUCCGCGUAAGAGCGUUGCGAUCAUUAUAAAAGAUUAUAAAAGCUUCGGCCGUAAGAGCUGUUAGCGAGUUACCUAGUUCUAGCCACCUAAAACCUUAAACCUAGUUGAGUCGCAGCUCGAUAACAAAAGACGAAAAAAUACGAAAAAAAGGUUUUGGUUGAUUUCGGACUGAACCUUAUGAAAGGAUACCUACAUACCUCAUUCAAGGAUCAAGCAUAACGUAGUUCAAUUGAAAGAGUUGAACAAGAGAUCAAACUGCCUGUGCGAAUUUGUCUAAUAAUCGAGUGUCAGUCAUAGAAACAACACAUGUCGAGAAUAAUGUCUAAUGUUUCUAAGUGCAUAGAGUUCUAAGAGUCUAAUAGAAUCGUACAUGUCCUACUUGCCUUGGCUACCCUUAUAUAUGCCUUCUAGGUCGGUCGUCCUUUUAUUUUUUGCCCACGGGUCGAAUUUAUUGAUUCGCGGAAAUAUUCCAUUUUUCUUUGAUAUUCAUGUUUAUCCUUUGAAACUUGACAUUUAUCUUCUCCUGCUAAUAUCAGAUAAACCGUCAUAGUAGUUUCGGGCUCAUCCUCAUCCAAAAUUGUAAGUGGACUUUUGCUUCGUUUUAGACCAUUUUCGGGUCGUUUUAGACCAUUUUCGGGCCGUUUUGGACUUCUGUUUUUUUACAACUCCUUCGAAAAUCUUUGAUACGACGUUGGUUUUAUGAAAUAAUUCAAGCCAAUUGUAUAGGCGAGAUAACUUAUGGUGUUAAGUUGACCGUUAUCGUUUUAUACGAUUCAUUCGAUUUUAUACGAGAAAACCAAUCUUCGAUAAUUUUAUCGUAAAGUUUAAACGGUAACUCCAAUCGAGACGAAACAAGGGACAGUUCAAUCAAGGCCCGAAGGAGAAGCUAAGAGAGAGUUAAUCGAGACUGAUCCUUGUCGCCUAAUGACAAGUCGGAUAGGGUUGAUCCAACUCGCCAUCAGGCGAGUUGGACGAGGUUGAUCCAACUCGCCAUCAGGUGAGUUAAACGAGGUCAAUCCAACUGCGAGGUUGGCCGCACGCUGAUGAGGUUGUUUUGUUACUCGGGAGUUUUCUACUUAGGAAAUUUCUGAAAUUAUUUCAAGAAAGUUUCCUUAAGAGAUGCAAAUUUCAAGAUUACCAUUUUUGACCUCAAUAGUUAGCCCUCCAGCUCGAAACUUUCCACCAUGAUUCUUGGGAGCGAGUGGUGGUUUUAAUCGGAAUCUAUGGCUAGGAGGGCUUCCUUUGUUUCUCGGAAACUUUCGUCAAUUAUUUUUAUGCGGAGAAUUGACCUCAUCCUCAUAUUCCUAUGAGAAUGGAAUGUGAUAAGAUUGGGACUUCGCCUUAUGAAGGCUACCUACAUACCCUUGUCGAAGGGAUCAAGCCUUUCGUAUAGUUCAUUUUGGAGUUAAUUACGACAUGUUUUCCAGUGAGACCUUUACGGUUUUGUUAUGUGUUCUGUAAAGAUUAUCGGGAAUGUUGUUGCCGAUGGCAUUUUAUAUUGGACCUUUGUCGGCCUCGAGACUAGGCCUAAAUGACAUUAUAUUCACCCUAUAAGGUCCAUUAAAUUAAGAAGAAAAAAUGGUUUCCAACAAUGGACAAAAGAGAAUAAGAGUACCUAAAUUAAAAUCGCCUAAGUGGUCGAGACUACAUUCUCUAUUGAUCUAGUGAUCAAUAUGAUAUUAGGCAAAUAGCCAGGGCAAUCAUGUUUGAUUAACCCACGAAAUUUAUCACUUAGAUGNNNNNNNNNNNNNNNNNNNNNNNNNNNNNNNNNNNNNNNNNNNNNNNNNNNNNNNNNNNNNNNNNNNNNNNNNNNNNNNNNNNNNNNNNNNNNNNNNNNNNNNNNNNNNNNNNNNNNNNNNNNNNNUUCUUCUCCGGUGAGACCAUGGCGAGCUCGGAAUGACAUGAUCUGAAACCCUAAUGUUCUCUAGUUCUCUAGUUCUCUCGUCUCCGGCUCUAAAACAUCUCUCAUCUCCGGUUCACUCCACCUAACGCCGCCUCUAUCUUCUCUCGUCUCCAGCUCACGGUCUCCGCUGGUUACCACUGUCAUCCGCAGUCACUCCACACCUCUACACAAGCCGAUUUCACUAAAGAAAGAAAAUAAAUUAUAGAGAUUUUUGUUGGAUAUUUAAAUGGUGAAGUACAAAGAAAGAUUAAGGGAUUAAAAGUAUAGAGAAGAUAGUGGAGGUUGCUUGGUCGAGAGAGAUAAAGGAAGAAGAAAAAAAAAAGAAAAAAGAAGAGAGUGAGACUGAUGAAGAACACAUAUGAGACAACUUUGGACUAAUUUAUUCAAUUUAAUCAACGGUCAAGAUAGCAAUCAUCUACCCUAUUGUUUCAGCGAAAAGAAAAUUAGAAAAUACAGAUAGUUAAUUAUGUUUACUUUUAUUUUAGUUUCCCUAUUGUAUAUGAAGGAUAAAUUAAAAAUAAAAAAACGCUCUCUAGAUAGAACUUUCAAACCUAGCCAAGUUCUCCUCUGCCGCCGUGUUCCUUGCCGAUAGGCAGAGUUUCUCUUCUUUAUUAUCUCGUUUUCAGUUUGCUUCUCUGCUUUCUCCGGUUCUGUGGGCCGAUAUGUCUUAAUUUUGGUACUUCUAUGCUUCUCUGGUUCUGUGAGCCGGUGGUGGUUCUUGAAUUCGGUGGAGGCAUCGUGAUCUGGAAGGAGGGCGAGGUUUAAAGGUCGGUUGUUUGCAGAGGAGCCUGCGUUUAGGAGCUUGCAUGUCUGCAGAUCCAUGGCAGAUCUGAAGUUUUCUCUUCAUGCAUGUGCUUUUUCAACGGUUUAACAAAAGAUCAUGGUGGCCUUGGGUCUAAUCAUCGCUUCUAGAUCUGGGUACCUCUACUUUUCUAUGUCUUCGCGAGUCUUGCUUCUUCGCUUUUGGCCUGGUCUCGGUUUGGGGUUUCGUUUCUCGGAUGUGAGUUUGCUGUGGAGCCAUCUACAAUCGUCUUCUCUGUUUGGGGAGAUUGGUUUAAGGACGAUGCAGUGGUCUCGAUCUUCGGUUUCUUCUCUUGCGAGGACGUGACCAGCUUUGUGCUUGUAGAUGGGCUAAGCUGGGUACACGAGUGUCCGUGUGUAAGAACCUUUGAUCCUCUUAGACGUUUU